rnacentral:tRNA from 1 species
UCCUCGUUCGUCUAGUGGCUAAGAUAUAUCGCUCUCAUUACUCGCAGGGCGCUCCGAUAAGACCCGGGUUCGAUUCCCGGACGGGGAA